GAUGAACGCUAGCGGCAGGCCUAACACAUGCAAGUCGAGGGGUAACGUGAGUGCUUGCACUUGACGACGACCGGCGCACGGGUGCGGAACGCGUAUGGAACCUACCUUUAUCAGGGGGAUAGCCCAUGGAAACGUGGAUUAAUACCCCAUAGUAUUAUUUCAUUGCAUGAUGAUAUAAUUAAAGAAUUUCGGAUAGAGAUGGCCAUGCGUAUCAUUAGCUAGUAGGCGAGGUAACGGCUCACCUAGGCGACGAUGAUUAGGGGUCCUGAGAGGGAGAUCCCCCACACUGGUACUGAGACACGGACCAGACUCCUACGGGAGGCAGCAGUGAGGAAUAUUGGACAAUGGGCGGAAGCCUGAUCCAGCCAUGCCGCGUGCAGGAAGACUGCCCUAUGGGUUGUAAACUUCUUUUAUAUGGGAAGAAACUUAUCUACGUGUAGAUAACUGACGGUACCAUACGAAUAAGGAUCGGCUAACUCCGUG
rnacentral:rRNA from 1 species